UCUAAUUGGCUGGAACAUCUGUUGAAAUUGUGUUUCUGUAAAGAAAGAAAAAACUACCAUCUUCGGAGAUCUCUGGCUAGCUUUUAAGGCACCUAAAUCUCAGUCUUAAGUGAAGCGGACAGAGAAAAAAAGAAUGAAGCAUCUACUAGCAGCCAUUCCGUGGCUUCAGCUAGACCGUGAGUUGAGGGUUAUUGGAAAGGGAAUUGUCACACAAUGUUCAGGGGUGGAGACAAGGCUCAGUGUGACUCCUGUGAGGUUCCCAGUGGGCAACUGGAUUCCAGGGACAACCAGUGAACUCCUCCUUGUGAAAUGUUCGCUUUGGACAGGGUUAAAUGGAGAGGUGAGAGUGGAGCAAAGCCCUCCGGCCCUGAGCCCCCAGGAGGGAGAAAACUGUACCAUCUACUGCAAUUAUUCAGGAACGACUACAGCUCGACUGUACUGGUACAGACAGGAGCUGGGGAAAAGCCUGGGACACCUGUUUUCGUUGGUGUCAAACGGAAUAGUGAAGCAGGAGGGACUAUUCACAGCCUGUCUUGACACCAAAGCCUGUCGCAGCGCCCUGCACAUCACGGCCACCCAGGGUGGCCUCUCUGCCUGCUACAUCUGCCCGGUGGACGGACAGCGCUCCCCCGAGGCUUUCAGUCCGUACCCAAAGCUGCAGCCUCGGCCCCCGCCCCCGCUGCUGCGGGACUACAGUCGGAGGCUUAGUGCAUCGUCUCUGCCUCUCUUCCUGCAAGGAAAUUCUGAAAUGAAUGAGAAAAGAUGGUGUUUUUAACCUUUAUUUUCUUCACUAUGGAAAUUUUCUUUAAAGGUAAAUGGAUUCGGGGGGAAAAUGUCCUAAACAUGUCUUUCCUGAGAAUAUGAGCUCUCAUCUUUUACUGCCUCAUAGUCAAAAUCCAUUAGUCUUCCAUUACAGAAUGAUUUUACAUUUAGCACAACUGUCACAAAUAAUUCCUAUGAAAUACAGAGCCAUUAUUUGUUUAUAUGUGAGUGUAGCCUAUAGCAUUUACCAAUGGAGGGGAAAAAAGAAUAAAUGCUUUAUAAAAGAAUAUUCUGUGAGAGGCUCCUUACCUAGUUUUUCCUGCUAAAUUAUUGACUGCACUGGUCAAGUGAUGUCCGUGAGAUCUAGGUAUCAAGUUAUCACAAUGUGUAGAGAGAUUCUUGUUGUAGGACUUUAAAAAAUAAAUAAAUAAAAGGCUAAUUGAAAAAACCUGAACCCACACUGUUGCAUGAAAGUAUUAUGCAUAUACCUGGUCUACAAACCCAGGAUACAAAUGCUUUCACGUCUCUCAUUUUUCCAAGUAGUUUUUAGAGCGAAAACCGGCCAAAUAAGCAGGGAGUUCCUUAUCUCCUUCUUGGGCCCUUGCCCGCACCCACCCCUGACCUGUCUAAGAAGCGGGGAGAGGUGGGCAGCUUGGAAAGGAUUCGUCAAGCUUCCACGCCAAGCAGUGGACCCCAGUUGACUCCUGCCUUGUUUCUUGCUGAUACACAUUCUCCCUCAGGGUCUGAGAGAGAGUGCUGGACCAUGCUGAUCCUGCCCCUGGAGGGUGACCCCACUCUUUCAGUGUCAGCUUGGCCAAUGGUGCCUCAUGCCUGGGCUCAAGAUUGCAGAACUCUGUACUCAUCUCCCUCAUGGACACAUGGCCACCGCUUGAGACCCCAACAACCAAAGAAUUCUGGGUUCAGAGUGGUUCUGGCCUUCAUAUUGUGGGGACAAAACAGCAUCCCCUUUUGUGGCUCUUCCUAAGCGAUAAAUAUCUUUUGUUUUGCAUGUCUCAGACCCAAAGGGUCUGAUUACACUCACUUUCUCUAGAGUGACAGUAGGGUUAUAUGCCAACCCUCUUAAGGACGAAUACUCUUAGCAACCCCUUAGGAUCCUGCAGCUCCUUUCUAACCCUGGCCACCUUCAAUGACUCGAGGGUAUUUAUCCCUCAAAUGAGACUCCCUAAGGUGACUUUUUCCUGUUUUCCAAGUGAGGUCACCCAUAAUGAUUCCACAGUGUCAACACUUCCUUUUCUAAGGGAUGCUGGCCACAGUGAAUAUACAAUGGUUUUCUGGGAUUUUCUUACUGAAUAAUAAAACUAACCCAAACUUUAUCACUGAGAGGCACCUUGCCACAUGAUUUUCUGAAACAAGUAAAUUAAGCACAAUUUAAUACAAUGAAAUGAAAUUACAUAUUAAGUUCUAAUCUCCCCGCUAAGGCAUUGGGGAAUACCCUUAGUUUAAUGGCAAAUAAAGUAGUAUCUACUUUGAUGUAAUGUAGGUUUAUCUUCUUCUAGGUCCUGCUGUGCCUCUACUUGCCCUGUAAUACUCUUUUCCCUAAACAGUUUACAAUGAGUGGUCACCUCCUAGUUCAAGGACCCUUAUGAAACUCCAAAAUGUUUCUGAUGUUUGCUUACACACUUUCUCAAAAGUCAUAACAUCAAUUCUUUAUUGUUUUGAGGCUUUGCUUUCCUCUAAUUGCUCUGCAAAAUAUCCAUGCCUGCAUUUCUUACUGCCCAGGAGCAGUGGCACUGUUCCACAUCUCUGCUUCUUCCUCUGUCAGCACAGACUGUGUCCUCAGUCUGGCGGUUUAUUUGCUCCUCUCUUCUCUGUUGUGGUAAUGCUUGUUAGUGGGCUGGGUUACUUACUAAUCGAAAUCCACACUCAAAUCAGAUCCCUCCACUGCGCAGAAUCAUAAAUCCCAUGAGACUUUUGUGAACAUCAGGAAAAUCCUGACAGGCCACAAAAGGUCAAGGGGUUUAUUUCUUGGCCAUUGCAUAUGCAAUAGUGUUUAUAUCUGUAACCUGCAAUCCUUUUUCUUCAUCAUUCCAAAAUAUAUAACGAGCAAUGUAUAGUGACAAAUAGUAAAAGUAUAGAUUUAUUUACAUUGUACAUUUAAUUUGAAAUCAGCACUUUGGAUAGAAAUGUUAAGAUGGAGUGUCCAACACAGCAGGACUACUUGGUCAAAAGGCAUCAGUUCUUCCAUCUUUCUGUUCUUUCCUUAUAUUUUCUCAUUUAAACUUCAUAGCAAAAGGGCAUGAUUCCCUCUUGUGAAUGAAAGUCUCCACCUGGUUAGUCAAUAGAGAGUAGUGGACCCAGCUUACUGACUGGGUAAAUAGGACAAAAUAUGCUACAAGAGAAGGAACUUUUGACUAAAAACUUCCCUUGUCUCCCCAAAUUCAUAGCUGUGGAAGUCUCAUAAAUGAUAUUUCAACUGUGCUGUGAGUUGCAAAGAUACAGGGGUCAGUCCCAUUCAGCUCAAGAAUCUUACAGAUACCGUGAAGAAAGAAAUAAGGAUGGGGUCAACAACUGAGCAGCUUUCUCAGUCCCAGGAAUGAAUUUGGAAAAUAAGAUGCUACCAGUCAACAAAACUGUGCUAAAAAGAAAGUCAAAUACCAUAUGAUCUCACUCAUAAGUAGAAGAUAAAAAUGACCAAAA